CGAGCGUUAUCCGGAAUUAUUGGGCGUAAAGAGCGCGCAGGUGGUUGAUUAAGUCUGAUGUGAAAGCCCACGGCUUAGCCGUGGAGGGUCAUUGGAAACUGGUCGACUUGAGUGCAGAAGAGGGAAGUGGAAUUCCAUGUGUAGCGGUGAAAUGCGUAGAGAUAUAGAGGAACACCAGUGGCGAAGGCGGCUUCCUGGUCUGUAACUGACACUGAGGCGCGAAAGCGUGGGGAGC
rnacentral:rRNA from 1 species